rnacentral:misc_RNA from 1 species
GUGUGCAUGUAUCAAUUGAUAGCUGAAUUGUUAAUUCCUUGUUUUCUAGCACUUGCAAAAGUUCAUGUGCUUCAAGUUUAAUAAUUUACUUAUUAGCCAUUUGCCUGAGGUUAUGAGGUUCGCUUCCUUGUGAUGUGGAGGUCACAGUUUCAAAGAUCGAAAUAGCUUCCUUUUGUGUGUACCUAACGCCUCUCAAGGCUUUUGGCUUGGGAAGCCUCAUGCAGUGCAACUUAUUAGCCCUUUCUCUAAAAUUUUUGUGGGUUUGCCGAUCCAUGGGUUCUUUGGUUUGGUGGAGGUGUUUCGGGCGCGAAUUACAUACUUCUGCCCCCCCUUUUUUUUUUGUUUCUAUGCAUGUAACUCUGCAUGAAUCUCUCCAAAGGUAGUUACUGUGUUUCUUGUCUUUGGUCAUGAGUCCUUGUUUCUUAUUCUGUAGUUCUUGCGGAAUGCAUACUGACAGGUCCUUUUCUUUCCAAUUUUGACAUGGGCAGCUUCUUGGUAGGGUCUUCAACA